ensembl:lncRNA
GACAAGACAAGACAAGACAAGACAAACACAAGACAAACACAGACAAGACAAACACAAGACAAGACAAGACAAACACAAGACAAGACAAACACAAGACAAACAAGACAAGACAAACACAAGACAAGACAAGACAAACACAAGACAAGACAAACAAGACAAGACAAGACAAGACAAGACAAGACAAACACAAGACAAGACAAACACAAAACAAGACAAAACAAACACAAGACAAACACAAGACAAGACAAGACAAGACAAGACAAAGACAAGACAAACACAAGACAAGACAAACACAAGACAAACACAAGACAAGACAAACACAAGACAAGACAAACACAAGACAAGACAAACACAAGGCAAGACAAACACAAGACAAACACAAGACAAACACAAGACAAGACAAGACAAACAAGACAAGACAAGACAAACACAAAGACAAGACAAGACAAACACGACAAGACAAGACAAACACGACAAGACAAGACAAACAUGACAAGACAAGACAAACACGACAAGACAAGACAAACACGACAAGACAAACAAGACAAGACAAACACAAGACAAGACAAACACAAGACAAGACAAAGACAAGACAAGACAAACAAGACAAGACAAGACAAGACAAGACAAACACGACAAGAC